UACGUAGGGUGCAAGCGUUAAUCGGAAUUACUGGGCGUAAAGCGUGCGCAGGCGGUUGUGCAAGACAGAUGUGAAAUCCCCGGGCUCAACCUGGGAACUGCAUUUGUGACUGCAUGACUGGAGUACGGCAGAGGGGGAUGGAAUUCCGCGUGUAGCAGUGAAAUGCGUAGAUAUGCGGAGGAACACCGAUGGCGAAGGCAGUCCCCUGGGCCUGUACUGACGCUCAUGCACGAAAGCGUGGGGAGCAAACAGG
rnacentral:rRNA from 1 species